UACCAGCUCUCCGAGUGGUGUGGAUGUUUAUUGGGCCUGAAGCAUCCGUAGCUGGCUGGACAAGUCCCCUGUUAAAUCCACCGAUUUAAUCGUUGGUGUGCGGGGGAUACUGUUCGGCUAGGGGACGGGAGAGGCCGACGGUAUUUCCGGGGUAGGGGUGAAAUCCUAUAAUCCCGGGAAGACCACCAGUGGCGAAGGCUGUCGGCUAGAACGCGCCCGACGGUGAGGGAUGAAAGCUGGGGGAGCGAACCGGAUUAGAUACCCGGGUAGUCCCAGCUGUAAACGAUGCAGGCUAGGUGUUUGGGCGGCCACGUGCCGCUCUAGUGCCGCAGGGAAGUCGUUAAGCCUGCCGCCUGGGGAGUACGGCCGCAAGGCUGAAACUUAAAGGAAUUGGCGGGGGAGCACCACAAGGGGUGAAGCUUGCGGUUU
rnacentral:rRNA from 1 species